CAGGAACAAAUGACCUUUUAUUUCAUACGAAGAUACAAAGGCAAUUGUAUGUAGCAACAGUCUGACGGCCAGUCCAAAUUCUUGGGAGGAAGUAAAUUCAUAGUAAAUGUCACUAUGGCUGCUCAGAGGGAAGGGCAGAGGAAGUGAGAGCCAAGACAGAAAUGGCUACAGCUAAUAAAUAACGUAAGCACGGCACAACUUCGGUGUGCCAGCCUGAGGCUCACCAGGUGACUCGGUGCUGCCAAAGCAGGGUCUCACAGCAGCCAUGAAGAUCUUCAAAGGGCAUGUGGCACAGCUCUACUGCAUAUUCAGGGAAGGAGCAUCCUUCCGGGGAACCGAGACGUCGAAGGCACUAUAACCUGGAUUCAUUACUGUCUUGCAGGAGGCCCCGGGACAUUUGUGAUGGCAGUCUUAAGAAAACAUACCUGAAAGCCAGGUAUAAUGGCUCACACCUUUAAUCCCAGCACUAGGAGACAGAUGCAGGCAGACUCUGAGUUCUAGACCAGUGUGAUCUACACAGAGUUCUGAUCUCUGUGAGCGCUAGACCAGCAUGAUCUACAUAGAGUUCUAGGACAGCCAAGGCGACAGAGACCCCAUCACCUCUGUCUUU
rnacentral:lncRNA from 1 species